CCUCCUCAAACUUUAUUUUAUAGGUUAAUUGCAUGCAGCUCCCUGUAAACAUAUCGAAUAGCAGCAGAUAUAUCCCCACAAAGCUUUAUAUUUUAUAUUUAUUCAUAUAAAAGUUUUAACAUUUUCGAAUAUACCUCUACUGUUAUGAUUAAUUAGAAAAAAAUAGUUAACCGUCGAUAAAAUAGUUGAUCCUGAUUAGUGAAUGCGAUAAAUUGACAUUUUUAUCCCUUUUAUAUUAUUUUUGAAAGAAUAUUUCUAUAUUAUUUUAAUAGUUGGGGUUUUUAAAGGAACAUAUUUGUGAUGACAAAAAUGUCAUUUCACUUAUCUACUAAUAACAAAUAAACAGUGCUCUAAUGAUAACAAACCAGAGAGACAAAUAUGAAUAUCACCGGACUUUUGCAUGGAUAAAUAUAGAAAGUUGAUCUUUUUAGAAAUAUAUUUGCUAUAUAUAUUCGAUAUGUUUACAAGAAGCUGUAUGAAAUUAACACUUAUUUUAUUAUUAUUUCAGACACGAACUUUCAAAAUUAUUACAAUUUAGUUCCAUAACCAAAUUUAGCUGAUUAAAUAUUAAUAUAUCGCUAAUACGGAAGCAUUACGUAUAGUAUUAUGAUUGGUGAUGCGCCUGUGUAAAUAUUCAAUCAACUAAAUUGUCAGAAAUUAUAACAAAUUGAUCUAAAAUCUAUCUGUUCGAAAAGGCGAGCUAGUGUAUU
rnacentral:lncRNA from 1 species